rnacentral:rRNA from 1 species
AAGCCCCGGCUAACUUCGUGCCAGCAGCCGCGGUAAUACGUAGGGUGCAAGCGUUAAUCGGAAUUACUGGGCGUAAAGCGUGCGCAGGCGGUUUUGUAAGACUGUCGUGAAAUCCCCGGGCUCAACCUGGGAAUGGCGAUGGUGACUGCAAGGCUAGAGUUUGGCAGAGGGGGGUAGAAUUCCACGUGUAGCAGUGAAAUGCGUAGAUAUGUGGAGGAACACCGAUGGCGAAGGCAGCCCCCUGGGUCAAAACUGACGCUCAUGCACGAAAGCGUGGGGAGCAAACAGGAUUAGAUACCCUGGUAGUCCACGCCCUAAACGAUGUCUACUAGUUGUCGGGUCUUAAUUGACUUGGUAACGCAGCUAACGCGUGAAGUAGACCGCCUGGGGAGUACGGUCGCAAGAUUAAAACUCAAAGGAAUUGACGGGGACCCGCACAAGCGGUGGAUGAUGUGGAUUAAUUCGAAGCAACGCGCAGAACCUUACC